rnacentral:rRNA from 1 species
GAUGAACGCUAGCGACAGGCCUAACACAUGCAAGUCGAGGGGCAGCGAGGAUGUAGCAAUACAUUUGUCGGCGACCGGCGCACGGGUGAGUAACGCGUAUGCAACCUACCCGACACAGGGGGGAUAACCCGGAGAAAUUCGGACUAAUACCGCAUAAAACAGGGGUCCCGCAUGGGAAUAUUUGUUAAAGAAUUAUCGGUGUCGGAUGGGCAUGCGUUCCAUUAGCUAGUUGGUGAGGUAACGGCUCACCAAGGCCACGAUGGAUAGGGGUUCUGAGAGGACGGUCCCCCANACUGGUACUGAGACACGGACCAGACUCCUACGGGAGGCAGCAGUAAGGAAUAUUGGGCAAUGGAGGCAACUCUGACCCAGCCAUGCCGCGUGAAAGGAAGAAGGCCCUACGGGUCGUAAACUUCUUUUGUCAGGGAAUAAACGUGGCUACGCGUAGCCAUCUGCAGGUACCUGAAGAAUAACGCAUCGGCUAAACUCCGGUGCCAGCAGCCGCGG